AAUAGAUACCCAGGUAGUCCACGCCGUAAACGAUGGAUGCUAGCUGUUAUGCGUAUCGACCCGUGUAGUAGCGAAGCUAACGCGUUAAGCAUCCCGCCUGGGGAGUACGAACGCAAGUUUAAAACUCAAAGGAAUUGACGGGGACCCGCACAAGCGGUGGAGCGUGUUCUUUAAUUCGAGGCUAAGCGAAGAACCUUACCAGGGCUUGACAUCCUUGGAAUUUCUCCGAAAGGAGAGAGUACUUUAUUGGACCAAGUGACAGGUGCUGCAUGGCCGUCGUCAGCUCGUGUCGUGAGAUGUUUGGUUAAGUCCAUUAACGAGCGCAACCCUUAUGAAUAGUUGUAUUUUUCUAUUCAGACUGCCCCGGUAACGGGGAGGAAGGGGGGAUGAUGUCAGGUCAGUAUUGCCCUUACGCCCUGGGCUAGAAACGCGCUACAAUGGCCGGUACAAUGCGCUGCCAACCCGCGAGGGGGAGCAAAUCGCAUCAAAGCCGGUCCCAGUACGGAUAAGAGGCUGAAACUCGCCUCUUUGAAGCCGGAAUCGCUAGUAAUCGU
rnacentral:rRNA from 1 species